CAGUGUUCCCAGAAGGUAUCUGAAGAGUUCAUGGCCUGGAACAUAUCAACAUCUCUAAAACUGUCCCAGGGGGUCACAGUUCACUCUACCAACGUAGGACUAAGGUCAGGGGCUGCCUGCUAAUAACUCUAGGUGACGUGGGAACAGUGGAUUCCUGGUUGAGCCACGGACAGUGGGGAGCAACUGGAAGCAGUGAGGACCAUCGUUUCCCAGCAUUUCCUAAACCAAGCUGGCAAGCUGGCAAGCACCAUUGUGCAUAGUCAGAGAGCCAAACCGAAUCAGCACUUACACUUGCCAGCUCCUCUAGCCAAACGGGAAAGCUAAACUGAAACCGGACUGGCAAACACAUCGUGUUCUUCAACGAUUCCUCUUGCUGGCUCAGCACAGCUUCAGGUUCCCGGUCAUCAGCCACACCAGGCCCAUCACAAGCUCCCAGGCCUCUCUCCACAAACUCUCGUUGAAUCCCCGCUGAGUUUUUGCUUGCUGACUUCUAGAGAAAGGAAUUGGACUGGCCUGGCUUGACUUAUUCAUCUUAUCAAGCAGACCACACAGGUCCUAAGUUACCGGGCAGCCUGUGGACGGGCUCCCCCUUGAUCAUGUACCUGCAGUUUUCCCUCGUCCGAUCGGGCAGCAGCAUCUGAAGACUGGAGCCCCUCGCUGCUCCUUCCCUUCCCAGCCAAGAGCCCUGUCCUCUCUGAGUCUCAGUCUUCCCGUUGAUUGCUGGGUCUUUUGAAGUCCGUGCUUCCCAGGAUGCUGGGCAGGACUGGGUGGGAUCCAGGCUUUGAAAGCGUUGAGGAGCUUUGCUGGUCUGAGGUCAUAAUGGCAGCUCAGGUGAGUGACCCGAAGGCUCUGAGCUGCGAAGGUGGUGGGAGCGUCCUGAGGACACACAUGGUGCUUCUCCCUUUCGAUGGAGACCCCGCAGACCUGGCGUCCUGCCCGAGGGUCCCACUGUUUCUGUGGGGAAGGGGGAGCUGUGGUUAGGACCAGAAUGUCGUAUCUGCCAGUUUGAAGGUGGCUACGGCUACUUCUGUAGGAAAGACCCUUUGCCUGAGAACAAAUGUUCUCCACAUGUCCUCCGAGUUCUUUCUUUGGGAAAGCUGGCCUGAGCCCGGCCUCUGCUUCCUUCUCACUGAGUGAGGGAGGGGAUACUCUCCAGAAGCUUCUGUGUCAGAGACCAGCCCCCUUCCCACCCCCCAAGGUGGGUCACUUCUCAUGGACCCCUGUGGCUCUUGGCCACUCUGUUAAGCUGGCGACAACUCAGGCCUGGCAGGGCAACGAGAGACUCUUUGAUUCAGGACAGCCUGGCGAGUGGAGGCCAGGAGCAGGCGUUAAGGAUUCCCUGUCCAGGGCCAUGGUCAAUGCAUGCCCAAGCUGACUCCUACGGAGAACAGAAGGGGUGUGGGAGACAGAAGACGCACCUGGACACACACUCUGAAGCAGCCUUUGCAUUCAGGGACAGCAGUUAUGGUCCCUUCCUGCUGGCGAGCUCCAACACCAUCCUCAACCAUGUGGGCAACCGUGGGUCUCCUUGGGCGCCCGGCUCCACGUGAGAAUGCAAGGGGCCCACUGGUGGCUGGGCAACUCCUGCCGAUGCUUCUGAACCAGGAUGACUGGUUUCCAGAGCCUGUGUCCCGCAUGGGCGCUGUGCCCAACCUUACAGCUCACAGGAGAGAGAUGGGAAAGUGCCAGAAUGGGGGUGGCUGUGUCCAGAAGGACUCGGAGGGGCAGAAAGACAGAGUGUGCUGUGAGCAGGACUGUGGCUACCUGCUUCCCUCCCUGCCUUCUUCCUUCCUUCUAGUUUCCCUCCCUUCCCUCCUUUCCUUCCACCCGCAAACGUUCACCAAGAAUCAGUUACAUGCCAUUAGCUGAUGAAGAUGCUUUGGUCCUUCUAAUCUUCUCAAGGCUUUCAAACCAUUCAUUUCAAACAAGAAGACAUGCAAUGACAAUACAGCAGUGAUUCUCAGACAUUAGCCAGCAUCGGACCCACCCGAGGGCUAGCUGAAACACUGCUUGCUGGGCCCCAACCAGGGUUUCUGACUCAGGGAAGUGUACAGGGCCUGAGAAUUUACAUUUCUAAUGCCUUCCCAGGACUGCUGCUGGUCCAGGGACCACGGGGCACAGUAAGCCCAGUGCAGGAGCAACUGUCACACCGGCUAGGAGUGGGGGAGGGAGUCAGAGCAGGCUGGGGACCCCAAGCUGAAUCCCAGGGGCUGGGAAAGAGAGAGGUGAAGGGGACAGGCAGUGCAGCAUGUGUAAAAGCCCUGUGGUGAGAGAUUCAGAUGGAGGACAUGGAAGCCAGCCGGUGUGGCUGAGUAGAGGAUGGGGUGGGUGGAUGGCAAGGGAAGAGGAGAGGCUGCCCGACUCCACAGAGAUCUCUAGGGAAAAACCAAACGGGGGGUGGGACAGCAGGUCAGGUUUAUGUUUGAGGACAGGUGCUCUGGCUGCUGGGUAGAGAACAAGGGAGGCGAGAAAAAUCAUUAGGAAGCCAUGGCAAUGAUCCAGGCAAGACAUGCUGCGGCCAGAGCAGGGCGGUGGCCAUGGGAGGCGGAGAAGAUGGAGCUGACAUAGACCUGGGAGGUGGGGCAGACAGGACGUGAGUGCAGGUGUCGGGUGAGGGGAGAGGGGAUCUGUGUGGAAUGGGACAUCAUGGUGUAUGGGGCCAGAAGCAUCAAACACAACCUCAUGCACACUAGCUGGUCAGCCCAGGUUCCGAGGACAGGGGUUCACCUAGGACAUGCUGGCUGGGCCCCUCACCUGAGGAGGGGAAUUAAUGAUAAGCGUACUAGAGCAUCGUAGGUCAUGUGAAGCCAGGAAUCUGGCCCGUGGUCAGGAAAUGUCGAGAGAAGAAGGUACUGCCUCUUACCGCCUUCUGCUUCCUUCCCUCCAUUUGCAGAUCAGAUCCCUCCCUUCUUUCUCUACCCGGGGGAUCCAGCUGCCCCACUGUCACCUGAAGAUAUUAUGCUGAACUGUAGGUUCAAGGCCCUGCAGGAGAGAAUUUGAUUGGUCUACCUUGGGUGGGGUGGCCAGAUUAGCAAAUAAAAAUAAGGAUGCCUAAAUAUCACAUGGCAGCAUACUAAGGCUAAAAAAUGAUCCGUUGUUCAUCUGCCCUGGAGGCUGUGGGUAUGCGGGAGGCCUAGCCUGAGUGCUGGCAUCUCAGGAGGAGGACGCAGCCCACACCGGUGAGGCCGGGAGCAGGGAGCUCUUAGAAAUCCUGGCCGCAGGCCCCCAGACCCAGGCUCAGGGCAGAACUCAAAAAUCCCCGAGGAGGAAGGGUGCAAAGGAGGGCGUGAGUGCAGGUGGUGGGUGGUGACCAGGCAGGUCACAGGUGCAGGCCAGGUCCAGGUUCAGGUCCAGGGACCCAGACAGGUCCGCUUGCUGGGCUGGGCACAGGCGGCGGCAGGCAUGAGGACGUGCUGUGCUGUCUGUCUGCCUCCCCACAGCUGCUCGGUGUAGGAAGAGCGCUGCUCCUGUGCAUCCUGGAGCAGCGCCCAGCUCUGAGCAGGGCCCGUUUGUGUUUGCUGCCUAAAUAAAUUGGACUCAAGCCCAGUUCCCUGCACUGGGCUGGGACGUCAGGGCCAGAUCUCAUGGCAAAGCCCAGAACGAGGGCCUGAAGCUUCAGACAUCCCUCCUGCCUUAGGACAGCACAGGUCCAGGUCCUGGAGUCCAGGACAGGGUGGAGCUGGGAGUGGGGGUGUCCCCGUCACAGCUCCUUUAGAGGAGGGCUGUGGUGGCCAGGGAGCCAGGGAAGCCUGCAUCCCCCUCUCCCCCCCACCCUCCACCAAGAGGGCCUUGGAGACUUCUCACAUUUACAGAUGGGAGGGCAAGCCACUCGCGAAAGAUCAUAACUAGAACCCUUAGACUUUUGGAGUCUCUGACCAGUGGCUUUCCUGAAAUACUGGGCUACAAAAUGGUAUUUGCACAAACUAGGGAGAUUUCAUCUCAGAAUUCAUUAGCAAGUUGUUUGAGGUGGUGAAACGCUUCU